rnacentral:rRNA from 1 species
AUUGAACGCUGGCGGCAGGCCUAACACAUGCAAGUCGAACGGUAACAGAAAGCAGCUUGCUGCUUUGCUGACGAGUGGCGGACGGGUGAGUAAUGUCUGGGAAACUGCCUGAUGGAGGGGGAUAACUACUGGAAACGGUAGCUAAUACCGCAUAACGUCGCAAGACCAAAGAGGGGGACCUUCGGGCCUCUUGCCAUCGGAUGUGCCCAGAUGGGAUUAGCUUGUUGGUGGGGUAACGGCUCACCAAGGCGACGAUCCCUAGCUGGUCUGAGAGGAUGAUCAGCCACACUGGAACUGAGACACGGUCCAGACUCCUACGGGAGGCAGCAGUGGGGAAUAUUGCACAAUGGGCGCAAGCCUGAUGCAGCCAUGCCGCGUGUAUGAAGAAGGCCUUCGGGUUGUAAAGUACUUUCAGCGGGGAGGAAGGGAGUAAAGUUAAUACCUUUGCUCAUUGACGUUACCCGCAGAAGAAGCACCGGCUAACUCCGUG